CCGCGUUCCGGGCUCGGCGCUCCGGGCUGCCCAGGGCUGGGCCCGGGACGCGG
ensembl:miRNA Mir7648 microRNA 7648